rfam:Gossypium raimondii Chr11_contig_942, whole genome shotgun sequence.
AUUUAAAGAAUAAACCGUACUUAUUGGCUAAGCCAAAAAUUCUAAAAAUUUUAUGGUAAUGCCUCGUACCCUAUUCCGGCGUCGAAUAUGGGUAAGGGGUGUUACAAUGUGACAUCGCCAGAUUCGGCCAUAAUGUUUUGGCCGGGUUUGGGAUGUUACAACGAGAGCGGGACCAAAUUGAGGCAAACUUUGAAUACUAAAUAUGACCUCAAAAUAACAGAGGUCGAGGUCGGCCAAUGAGACGGUGGGGGAUAAGCUUCAUCUUCGAGAGGGAAACAGUCCCGAUCACCAGCUAAGGCCUCUAAAUGACUGCUCAAUAAUAAAGGAGGUAAGGGUGCAUGAGCGAUAGUAGACGAAGCGGAAGUAAGAAUGUUAGAUUGAGUAAUGCAAACAUUGGUGAGAAUUCAAUGCCCCGAAAACCCAAGGUUUCUUUUGCAACGUUCGUCCAUGGAGGGUGAGUCAGGGCCUAAGAUCAGGUUGAAAGGCGUAGUUGAUGGACAACAGGUGAAUAUUUCUAUACUACUCCUUGUUGGUCCCGAGGGAUAGAGAAGGCUAGGUUAGCCGAAAGAUGGUUAUCGAUUCAAAGACGCAAGAUGACCCUACUUUUUCAAGGUAAGAAGGGGUAGAGAAAAUGCCCUGAGCCAAUGUUCGAGUACCAAGUGCUACGGCGUAGAAGUAACCCAUGCUAUACUCCUAGGAAAAGCUCAAACGACCUUCAAGAAAAGGUUACAUGUACCCAAAACUGACAUAGGUGGGUAGGUAGAGAAUACCUAGGGGCGCGAGACAACUCUCUCCAAGGAACUUGACAAAAUAGCCCUGUAACUUCGAGAGAAAGGGUACCUCCUCACAAAAGCGGUCAUAAUGACUAGGCUUGGGCAACUGUUUACCAAAAACACAAGUCUCUGGGAAGUCGUAAGACCAUGUAUAGGGUUACUCCUACCCAGUACCGGAAGGUCAAGGAAGUUAGUGACCUGAUGACAGGGGAGCCGGUGACCAAAGCCUUGGUGAACAACAGUCGCAACUAUAACGAUCCUAAGGUAGUGAAAUUUCUUGUCAGGUAAGUGAACUAAACAUGUUUAUGAAGAUGCAGACUACUCGCACGUGGACAGAAAGACCCUAUGAAGCUUCACUGUUCCUUGGGAUUGGCUUUGAGCUUUUCCUACGCAGCUUACGUGGAAGGCGAAGAAGGCCUCCUUCCGGGGGGCUCGAGCCAUCACUGAGAUACGACUCUAAAAGAGCUAGAAUUAUAACCAUUUUUCAGGACCUACGGGCCAAUGGACAGUCUCAAGUAGACAGUUUCUAUGGGGUGUAGGCUUCCCAAAAGGUAACGGAGGUGUGAAAAGGUUUCCUUGGGCCAGACGGAGAUUGGCCCUUGAGUGCAAAGGCAGAAGGGAGCUUGAUUGCAAGAACCACUCGUCAAGCAGGGGAGAAAGUCAGCCUUAGUGAUCUGACAGUGCCGAGUGGAUGGGUCGUCACUGAACGGAUAAAAGUUACUUUAGGGAUAAUAGGCUGAUCUUCCCCAAGAGCUCACAUCGACGGGAAGGUUGGCACCUCAACGUCUGUUCUUCACCACCUGGGGCUGUAGUAUAUUCCAAGGGUUGGGUUGUUCGCCCAUUAAGAGUUUAAAAUGUUUUAUUUUGUUAGAGUUUAAUAUUGUACAAAGUUUUGUCUUUAAUUUU